rnacentral:rRNA from 1 species
GACGAACGCUGGCGGCGUGCUUAACACAUGCAAGUCGAACGCUGGUAGCAAUAUCAGAGUGGCGCACGGGUGAGUAACACGUAGCUUACCUACCUCAAAGCGCGGGAUAACGUUCCGAAAGGAAUGCUAAUACCGCAUAAGCUCCCGGUCUGUAGAGGGCUGAGAGAAAAGGGGCAACUCACUUUGAGAUGGGGCGUGCGGCCCAUCAGCUGGUUGGUGAGGUAACGGCUUACCAAGGCAACGACGGGUAGGGGACCUGAGAGGGUGACCCC